rnacentral:rRNA from 1 species
CCUACGGGUGGCAGCAGUGGGGAAUAUUGCACAAUGGGGGAAACCCUGAUGCAGCAACGCCGCGUGAGUGAUGACGGCCUUCGGGUUGUAAAGCUCUGUCUUCAGGGACGAUAAUGACGGUACCUGUGGAGGAAGCCACGGCUAACUACGUUCCAGCAGCCGCGGUAAUACGUAGGUGGCGAGCGUGGUCCGGAUUUACUGGGCGUAAAGGGAGCGUAGGCGGACUUUUAAGUGAGAUGUGAAAUACUCGGGCUCAACUUGAGUGCUGCAUUUCAAACUGUAAGUCUAGAGUGCAGGAGAGGAGAAUGGAAUUCCUAGUGUAGCGGUGAAAUGCGUAGAGAUUAGGAAGAACACCAGUGGCGAAGGCGGCCUGCUGGACGACAACUGACGGUGAGGCGCGAAAGCGUGGGGAGCAAACAGGAUUAGAUACCCGGGUAGUC